CGGGGCGUAGCUCAGCUUGGUAGAGCGCUCGGUUUGGGUCCGAGAGGUCGUCAGUUCAAAUCUGGCCGCCCCGACCA
rnacentral:tRNA from 1 species